rnacentral:rRNA from 1 species
UACGUAGGGGGCGAGCGUUGUCCGGAUUUAUUGGGCGUAAAGAGCGUGUAGGCGGCCAGGUAGGUCUGCUGUGAAAACUCGAGGCUCAACCUCGAGACGUCGGCGGAAACCAUCUGGCUAGAGUCCGGAAGAGGAGAGUGGAAUUCCUGGUGUAGCGGUGAAAUGCGCAGAUAUCAGGAGGAACACCGGUGGCGAAGGCGGCCCCCUGGUUGGAUACUGACGCUGAGACGCGAAAGCGUGGGGAGCAAACAGG